AUGCUGCGCUGGGGGACUCGGUCCAGUCCAGGGAACCCCACCUCUCUGGAAGAGAAGGAGACUCUAUGACCCUCACUUGUUCUUAUGAUACCAGCUCUACAGGGUACGUCUAUCUCUACUGGUACCGUCAGUUUCCCAACCAAACCCCGCAGUACAUUCUCUUCAGAGGAGUGAAGCAAGCCAGAGAUGAGAGUAAUACCGCAGAUUUCGCACAGAAGAGAUUUUCUUCCCAGGCUGAUGACAGCUCCACAGUUCUGAGCAUCGCAGCCCUGGAGCUGGCAGACACAGCGGUGUAUCUCUGCGCUCUGGAUGUGACACAGUGA